AUCGCUUCUUAGCCUUUUGGCUAAGAUCAAGUCUAGUAUCUUUUCUAAACAGUUUAAUAUCUGAUAUGUCCUCUAUAAGAGAAUAACAUAUUAAAGAGAUUUUUAGCUUCAGGACUUGAAAAAGGGACUUGCUCCAUUCACUUCACACAUCAAACUGGCAUUUCAGUUCUGUUGAGAAUGGUGCACCCUUC